AAAACACGUUUAAACGCUUUAAAGACCGAUUAACAUUUCGAGAUUUAAUGCGUUUAUGUGACUGCUGCCCUCAGUGACGUGCACGCGCGGCUUUAGGAUUGGCUUUAUGCUUUUUGGAAGUGUGUGUGUGUGUAGGUGGGGAGGGGGAUUGUUAGUUGCUUUCGGCUGUGAUUUAUCGCAGUCCCGGGGAACGCGGCUCCCGUUCCUGUCCUAACGCAUUUCAGCGCGCGCAUCAGCCGUGAUUAAACACCUGCUAUGGCGCGCGAACAAAGCGCGCUAAUCCAAUAUGUAUCUCUGACAUCUUAAAUAUCGUCCAAUCCCCCGGCAUCACGCGCAGCUUUUCCGCAAGAUGGAAUUCUAAAACAUAUUUUUCUAAUUUAUGGACGGACGAUAAAUCAAAAUUAAGCCGCGGACAAUGAAAUAUACAUCAGCGUGCCGAGAACAGGCUUGAAAUGCAGCUACAGGCUCGAGCGCGCGCAUAGGUGUGGGGUUUGCUUUGCAGUGGGUUUUUAUGGUCUUGCUUUAGGAAACAUCAGAGAUGGCUCGUCAAAUUCUGGCCCUAUUCAAAAUUUACCCUGAUCUUCUCUGAGUGGUUUCCAUCAAUGCAUCAGUCAAUCAAUCUUCACCAACACCACACGGCAUCAGCAACUCCAUUUUGUUGUUUCUUCUAAUGGAAUCGGCUCUCCAUGAGAGUUCUGAUGAGUGCGAGUGAUGAACGAGGACACAGUUUGGUGAGAGGCACCAGUCCCCGGUUCCCCGUCCCCCACCCGUACACGACGUCCUUCGGCUCUUGCAGGCGCAUCAUGUGCCGCCGGAGCGGACAGAUGAAGAAGAGGAUAUUAAGUGACUCUAUCUAACAUCCAGGACACAAUGGCGGUGAUUGAUGGAGGACAAAGUAGGAACAGCAGGACGGAGGAUGGGGAGGGGGGUGUCCGCUGGGGGUCUCUGUCGAGAGCCGUGUUUACUCACUGAUGCUCUCCACAAGACAGCCAUUGACACUCGGAUGGAUGAGUCCCGCGGAGCCAGAGGUUACCGGGGCUGGAAUAUAGAGCUCCUCCACGACACGCUCCCUUCACCUAAUCUUCCGGCAAAAUAUUUAUCAUUAUCAAUUGCGGCCUGCUCUCUGACAUUAGAAUAGCACGUAUGGAUAAACCUCGGGAGGAUUAUCGAUCCGCCCGACAGCAAGGCUCACACAGGCGGCCGUGGAAGACUUGGGGUCAUACGGGACAAUAAGAAUAAAAUCCCGGUGUAUCCAGCACUCCGCUCGAGUUUAUUAAGUAAAACAAUGAGCCAAAUCACACCUCCGUGACAUACGUACACAGCCCACAAACGCUUCUGGAGCAACCCAGCGCUGCACAGUUACUUUCCUACACACUGAUUUGAUUUACAAUCAACAAUUUUGGAAUAAUUAUAAUUUUUUUAAUGCUUUUGAAAGAAGUAUUUUAAGUUAACUUGCUGCAUUUAUUUGAUCAAAAAACAAUAAUAUUUUAAAAUACUUUUAAACAUCUGUUUUCUAGUUGUAUAAAUUUAAAAUUUACUGGUAAUUUAUUCUAACUGAUCAAAGCUGAAUCUUCAGCAUCAUUCCUCCAGUCUUCAGUGUCACAUGAUCCUUCAGAAAUCAUUCU